UAUUUUCUUCAAUCUGAUUUGCACAAACUGCAUUACAAUCAAUUUCCGAAAUGUAAUUUGUGUGGAGAUAUUAUGAAGUCUGUAA